AGGUCAGGAAGGCUGCAUUAAGCGGUCUGCUGGGGAGUAAAUGCCCACCUGGCUA
rnacentral:ncRNA from 1 species